GACGAACGCUGGCGGCGUGCUUAACACAUGCAAGUCGAACGGAAAGGCCCUGCUUUUGUUGGGUGCUCGAGUGGCGAACGGGUGUGUAACACGUGAGUAACCUGCCCUUUACUUUGGGAUAACUUCAUGAAACUGGGGCUAAUACCGGAUAUGAGCUCGUGCUGCAUGGUGGGGUUUUGAAAGUGUCGGCGGUUGGGGAUGGACUCGCGGCUUAUCAGCUUGUUGGUGGGGUAGUGGAUUACCAGGGCUUUGACGGGUAGCCGGCCUGAGAGGGUGACCGGCCCCAUUGGGCCAGAGAUAGGGCCAAGAGUGCUACGGGAGGAAGGAGUGGGGAAUAUAGCAAAAUGGGCGGAAGCCUGAUGCAGGAACGCCGGGUGGGGGAGGACGGCUUUCGGGCUGUAACCAGCUUGAGCCUGUGACGAAGAGUGAGUGACGGUAAUGGGUAAAGAAGCAACGGCUAACUACGUG
rnacentral:rRNA from 1 species